GUAAAAUACGUUCCUAUUACCUGAAUCUUGCAAGGUAGGGCUAUCGUUUAUAUGGACAAGGGGGCAGAGUGAGUUGACAUGUUCCACAUGUAUAAGGUCCUAGAAUGACCCACAAAUAAUGAUGAAUACACUACAUUAAAACCUAAACCUUCCAGUUUGAAUGACUUAUGACUUUAUGUUUUCGUAGCUAAACAUUUACUUUACUCUUUUGUAGCAUUUUUGCUUCUGUAGAAGUCAAGCAUUUCAACUCCUCAAUCAUGAACAGCUUGACAGUCUUGCUUGUCACCAAAGAUGGAGACACGAAAACCUGUGAGAGUGAUGCAUCACUGAACAUUCUGCAAAACCAGCUGAACACCUGUGGAAUUAAAUAUCAGUGCAAAGUUGUUCCACAGUCACACAUUCAGUCCUGCAUUGCUGAUUGCUGGUGACUUCAGUUCAGUCAACAUGCGGUUAAUGCUGAAGCCUAUCCACUGCCUGUCCAAAAGCCUGCUGUGUUCAUCUCCUAAUACCCUCCAAAUAUAUGGUCUGGAGAAAAGUGUGCUGCUUUGACAUAGCAGUGAAGAACCCCAAUGAGAAAAAUGUGCUGCUUU